CACGAACUGCGCGAACGUUAUUCGGAAUCACUGGGCUUAAAGAGUUCGUAGGCGGCCUGGUAAGUCGGGUGUGAAAUCCCACGGCCCAACCGUGGAACUGCGCCCGAUACUGUCAGGCUAGAGGGAGUUAGAGGUGAGCGGAACUCAUGGUGGAGCGGUGAAAUGCGUUGAUAUCAUGAGGAACACCGGUGGCGAAAGCGGCUCACUGGAGCUUUUCUGACGCUGAGGAACGAAAGCUAGGGGAGCGAACGGG
rnacentral:rRNA from 1 species